rnacentral:rRNA from 1 species
UACGGGAGGCAGCAGCUAAGAAUAUUCCGCAAUGGACGGAAGUCUGACGGAGCAACGCCGCGUGAGUGAAGAAGGUUUUCGGAUCGUAAAGCUCUGUUGUAAGAGAAGAACGAGUGUGAGAGUGGAAAGUUCACACUGUGACGGUAUCUUACCAGAAAGGGACGGCUAACUACGUGCCAGCAGCCGCGGUAAUACGUAGGUCCCGAGCGUUGUCCGGAUUUAUUGGGCGUAAAGCGAGCGCAGGCGGUUAGAUAAGUCUGAAGUUAAAGGCUGUGGCUUAACCAUAGUACGCUUUGGAAACUGUUUAACUUGAGUGCAAGAGGGGAGAGUGGAAUUCCAUGUGUAGCGGUGAAAUGCGUAGAUAUAUGGAGGAACACCGGUGGCGAAAGCGGCUCUCUGGCUUGUAACUGACGCUGAGGCUCGAAAGCGUGGGGAGCAAACAGGAUUAGAUACCCUGGUAGUCCACGCCGUAAACGAUGAGUGCUAGGUGUUAGACCCUUUCCGGGGUUUAGUGCCGCAGCUAACGCAUUAAGCACUCCGCCUGGGGAGUACGACCGCAAGGUUGAAACUCAAAGGAAUUGACGGGGGCCCGCACAAG